GCGCAUUUGGUGUAAGGGUAUCAUAGUACCCUCCCACGGUAUUGAUCGGGGUUCGAUUCCCUUAAUACACA
rfam:Vitis vinifera, whole genome shotgun sequence of line PN40024, unoriented chromosome 9, chr9